rnacentral:rRNA from 1 species
UUUUAUGAGAGUUUGAUCCUGGCUCAGGACGAACGCUGGCGGCGUGCCUAAUACAUGCAAGUCGAACGCUUCUUUUUCCACCGGAGCUUGCUCCACCGGAAAAAGAAGAGUGGCGAACGGGUGAGUAACACGUGGGUAACCUGCCCAUCAGAAGGGGAUAACACUUGGAAACAGGUGCUAAUACCGUAUAACAAUCAAAACCGCAUGGUUUUGAUUUGAAAGGCGCUUUCGGGUGUCGCUGAUGGAUGGACCCGCGGUGCAUUAGCUAGUUGGUGAGGUAACGGCUCACCAAGGCCACGAUGCAUAGCCGACCUGAGAGGGUGAUCGGCCACAUUGGGACUGAGACACGGCCCAAACUCCUACGGGAGGCAGCAGUAGGGAAUCUUCGGCAAUGGACGAAAGUCUGACCGAGCAACGCCGCGUGAGUGAAGAAGGUUUUCGGAUCGUAAAACUCUGUUGUUAGAGAAGAACAAGGAUGAGAGUAACUGUUCAUCCCUUGACGGUAUCUAACCAGAAAGCCACGGCUAACUACGUGCCAGCAGCCGCGGUAAUACGUAGGUGGCAAGCGUUGUCCGGAUUUAUUGGGCGUAAAGCGAGCGCAGGCGGUUUCUUAAGUCUGAUGUGAAAGCCCCCGGCUCAACCGGGGAGGGUCAUUGGAAACUGGGAGACUUGAGUGCAGAAGAGGAGAGUGGAAUUCCAUGUGUAGCGGUGAAAUGCGUAGAUAUAUGGAGGAACACCAGUGGCGAAGGCGGCUCUCUGGUCUGUAACUGACGCUGAGGCUCGAAAGCGUGGGGAGCAAACAGGAUUAGAUACCCUGGUAGUCCACGCCGUAAACGAUGAGU